rnacentral:tRNA from 2 species
GCCCAGGUAGCUCAGUUGGUAGAGCAGUGGACUGAAAAUCCUCGUGUCGGUGGUUCAACUCCGCCCCUGGGCACCA